AAGCCACCCUAAGUGGGACUGUCAUUUGUUCCAGACUCCUGCCUGCAGUGGUGAUGACACGCAGGUGAUAGCUCUCUUCUGCCUUCCCUCGAGCCAAGCGAAACAUCUUCCCUCACUACACAGGAUGAGGAUGAGAACCUGCUGGAGUCACAGUGAAUUUGGAUGGGGAAAUUUGGAGGAAAGAGGCUGGAGAGGAAAGCCCAGGUGUAAGCAAUAGGUUUGUUAUGAGAGAGAUCUACUUUACUUCUGAAUAACCUGUGUCUGGUUAGGAAGACUAAGAUGGAAAGAAAUGGCUUCAUCCCAUUCAAGAUGACACAUGCAGCUCAAAAAAUGGGAACUUUGGGCUGCUUGGAAAUCAAGAGACCUGGAUAUAGGCACCUAACUGUAAGCUGUGGUGUUCCCUGCCCUUUCCCCAGUGUUUAA
rnacentral:lncRNA from 1 species